UGGGGAAUCUUGCGCAAUGCGCGAAAGCGUGACGCAGCAACGCCGCGUGGGGGAAGAAGGCCUUCGGGUUGUAAACCCCUUUCAGUUGGGACGAAGCUUCGUCGGUUAAUAGCCGGCUGGAGUGACGGUACCUUCACAAGAAGCCCCGGCUAACUACGUGCCAGCAGCCGCGGUAAUACGUAGGGGGCUAGCGUUGUCCGGAAUCAUUGGGCGUAAAGCGCGUGUAGGCGGUCCGGUAAGUCCGCUGUGAAAGUCGGGGGCUCAACCCUCGGAUGCCGGUGGAUACUGUCGGGCUUGAGUACGGAAGAGGCGAGUGGAAUUCCUGGUGUAGCGGUGAAAUGCGCAGAUAUCAGGAGGAACACCAAUUGCGAAGGCAGCUCGCUGGGACGUUACUGACGCUGAGACGCGAAAGCGUGGGGAGCAAAC
rnacentral:rRNA from 1 species